ACCUCAGUGGUGUAGUGGUAGCACACGUCCCCGGUAUGGAUGAAACGCGGAUUCGAUUUUCGCCUGAGGUA